rnacentral:misc_RNA from 1 species
GAAUAAUCUUUUGCACGUCAGUCUGAUCCCAAACUCUUUGCCCAUUUCUAUGUAUUAAAAAUAAAUAAAUCUUUUUUAUUAUUCUCUGUGUUUUUCUUUAGAUUUAAUCAGUUUUUAAACUACCUAAUUUGUACCUUUUCAAUGGACCAUUGAAAAGGGAAAGAUUUUGUAGUGGGUGGACCCUGAGUGACCCUGCUCGGAUCAAACAUGUGGGUGAAAUUCCCAGUGUGUGCGUAUGCC